GGUGAGCGGCGGACGGGUUAGUAACGCGUGGGAACGUACCCUUUUCUACGGAAUAGCCUUUGGAAACGAAGAGUAAUACCGUAUACGCCCUUUGGGGGAAAGAUUUAUCGGAGAAGGAUCGGCCCGCGUUAGAUUAGAUAGUUGGUGGGGUAACGGCUUACCAAGUCUACGAUCUAUAGCUGGUUUUAGAGGAUGAUCAGCAACACUGGGACUGAGACACGGCCCAGACUCCUACGGGAGGCAGCAGUGGGGAAUCUUAGACAAUGGGCGCAAGCCUGAUCUAGCCAUGCCGCGUGAGUGAUGAAGGCCUUAGGGUCGUAAAGCUCUUUCGCCUGUGAUGAUAAUGACAGUAGCAGGUAAAGAAACCCCGGCUAACUCCGUGCCAGCAGCCGCGGUAAUACGGAGGGGGUUAGCGUUGUUCGGAAUUACUGGGCGUAAAGCGCACGUAGGCGGAUUGGAAAGUUGGGGGUGAAAUCCCGGGGCUCAACCCCGGAACUGCCUCCAAAACUAUCAGUCUAGAGUUCGAGAGAGGUGAGUGGAAUUCCAAGUGUAGAGGUGAAAUUCGUAGAUAUUUGGAGGAACACCAGUGGCGAAGGCGGCUCACUGGCUCGAUACUGACGCUGAGGUGCGAAAGUGUGGGGAGCAAACAGGAUUAGAUACCCUGGUAGUCCACACCGUAAACGAUGAAUGCCAGUCGUCGGGCAGUAUACUGUUCGGUGACACACCUAACGGA
rnacentral:rRNA from 1 species